GAUUAUGGCUCAGGAUGAACGCUAGCGACAGGCUUAACACAUGCAAGUCGAGGGGCAGCAUAAAAGUAGCAAUACUUGGUGGCGACCGGCGCACGGGUGAGUAACGCGUAUGCAACCUACCUAUCAGAGGGGAAUAACCCGGCGAAAGUCGGACUAAUACCGCAUAAAACAGGGGCACCGCAUGGUGAUAUUUGUUAAAGAAAUUCGCUGAUAGAUGGGCAUGCGUUCCAUUAGGUAGUUGGUGAGGUAACGGCUCACCAAGCCGACGAUGGAUAGGGAACUGAGAGGUUGGUCCCCCACACUGGUACUGAGACACGGACCAGACUCCUACGGGAGGCAGCAGUGAGGAAUAUUGGUCAAUGGGCGGGAGCCUGAACCAGCCAAGUCGCGUGAAGGAAGAAGGAUCUAUGGUUCGUAAACUUCUUUUGCAGGGGAAUAAAGUGCAGGACGUGUCCUGUUUUGUAUGUACCCUGAGAAUAAGGAUCGGCUAACUCCGUGCCAGCCGCCGC
rnacentral:rRNA from 1 species